rnacentral:tRNA from 1 species
GUGGUGGCUCAGUGGUAGAGCACUUGCUUAGCAUAUGUGAGGCUCUGGAUUCGAUUCCCAGCAGCACA